AGAGUUUGAUCAUGGCUCAGAUUGAACGUUGGCGGCACGCCUAAUACAUGCAAGUCGAACGAGAAAGCACUUCGGUGUGAGUACAGUGGCGGACGGGUGAGUAACGCGUAGGAAUCUACCUAGUAGUGGGGGACAACUCGAGGAAACUCGAGCUAAUACCGCAUACGCUCUUAGGAGGAAAGUGGGGGAUCUUCGGACCUCACGCUAUUAGAGGAGCCUGCGUUAGAUUAGCUUGUUGGUGAGGUAAAGGCUCACCAAGGCGACGAUCUAUAGCUGGUCUGAGAGGACGAUCAGCCACACUGGAACUGAGACACGGUCCAGACUCCUACGGGAGGCAGCAGUAGGGAAUCUUGGGCAAUGGGCGAAAGCCUGACCCAGCGAUGCCGCGUGUGCGAAGAAGGCCUUAGGGUUGUAAAGCACUUUCAGUCGUGAAGAAAAGCUACGAUUUAAUAUGUCGUGGUCUUGACGUUAGCGACAGAAGAAGUACCGGCUAACUCCGUGCCAGCAGCCGCGGUAAUACGGAGGGUACGAACGUUAAUCGGAAUUACUGGGCGUAAAGCGCGCGUAGGCGGUUUGAUAAGUGGGAUGUGAAAGCCCCGGGCUCAACCUGGGAACUGCAUUCCAAACUGUCAAACUAGAGUGUGGUAGAGGGCGGUAGAAUUUCCUGUGUAGCGGUGAAAUGCGUAGAUAUAGGAAGGAAUACCGAUGGCGAAGGCAGCCGCCUGGACCAACACUGACGCUGAGGUGCGAAAGCGUGGGGAGCAAACAGGAUUAGAUACCCUGGUAGUCCACGCCGUAAACGAUGAGAACUAGCCGUUGGGGCCUUUAAGGCUUUGGUGGCGCAGCUAACGCGAUAAGUUCUCCGCCUGGGGAGUACGGCCGCAAGGUUAAAACUCAAAUGAAUUGACGGGGGCCCGCACAAGCGGUGGAGCAUGU
rnacentral:rRNA from 1 species